UACAGAGGGUGCGAGCGUUGUCCGGAAUUACUGGGCGUAAAGGGCGCGUAGGCGGCGCCGCAAGUCCAUGGUGAAAGCUCGAUGCUCAACAUCGAGUCGGCCACGGAGACUGCGGGGCUCGAGCACUGUAGGGGCAGAUGGAAUUCCGGGUGUAGCGGUGAAAUGCGUAGAGAUCCGGAAGAACACCGGUGGCGAAGGCGGAUCUCUGGGCCUUACCUGACGCUGAGGAGCGAAAGCGUGGGGAGCAAACAGG
rnacentral:rRNA from 1 species